ACGGAGGGUGCGAGCGUUAAUCGGAAUUACUGGGCGUAAAGCGCACGUAGGCGGUGUCGUAAGUUGGAUGUGAAAGCCCUCGGCUCAACCGGGGAACUGCAUUCGAUACUGCGCUGCUUGAGUGCAGGAGUGGGGGGCGGAAUUCCAGGUGUAGCGGUGAAAUGCGUAGAUAUCAGAGGGAAUACCGGUUGCGAAGGCAGCCAACGGGUCUACAAUUGACGCUGAUGCGCGAGAGUGUGGGGAUCAAACAG
rnacentral:rRNA from 1 species